UACGUAGGGUGCAAGCGUUGUCCGGAAUUAUUGGGCGUAAAGAGCUCGUAGGCGGCUUGUCGCGUCGGCUGUGAAAACCCGGGGCUCAACCCCGGGCCUGCAGUCGAUACGGGCGAGCUAGAGUUCGGCAGGGGAGACUGGAAUUCCUGGUGUAGCGGUGAAAUGCGCAGAUAUCAGGAGGAACACCGGUGGCGAAGGCGGGUCUCUGGGCCGAUACUGACGCUGAGGAGCGAAAGCGUGGGGAGCGAACAGG
rnacentral:rRNA from 1 species